GACGAAGGGGGCUAGCGUUGUUCGGAAUUACUGGGCGUACAGCGCGUGUAGGCGGUUGUCCAAGUUGGAUGUGAAAGCCUUGAGCUCAACUCAAGAAAUGCAUUCAGGACUGGAUGACUAGAGGACCGGAGAGGAUAGUGGAAUUCCCAGUGUAGUGGUGAAAUACGUAGAGAUUGGGAAGAACACCAGUGGCGAAGGCGGCUAUCUGGACGGUUUCUGACGCUAAGACGCGAAAGCGUGGGGAGCAAACAGG
rnacentral:rRNA from 1 species